rnacentral:rRNA from 1 species
AAGCCCUGGUGAAUGGCGGCCGUAACUCUAACGGUCCUAAGGUAGCGAAAUUCCUUGUCGGGUAAGUUCCGACCCGCACGAAUGGCGUAACGACUUGAGCGCUGUCUCAACGAGAGACUCGGCGAAAUUGUAGCAUGCGUGAAGAUGCGCAUUACCCGCAACAGGACGGAAAGACCCCGUGGAGCUUUACUACACCCUAACGUUGCUGCCCGGCCUAGCUUGUAGAGCUUAGGUGGGAGAC